rnacentral:rRNA from 1 species
GUCUACGGCCAUACCACCCUGAACGCACCUGAUCUCGUCUGAUCUUGGAAGCUAAGCAGGGUCGGGCCUGGUUAGUACUUGGAUGGGAGUAUAAAGUUGAAAGCCAGGUGUGAUACC